UACGAAGGGGGCUAGCGUUGCUCGGAAUUACUGGGCGUAAAGCGUGCGCAGGCGGUUUUGUAAGCCAGAUGUGAAAGCCCCGGGCUUAACCUGGGAAUGGCAUUUGGGACUGCAAGGCUGGAGUACGGCAGAGGGAGGUGGAAUUCCAGGUGUAGCAGUGAAAUGCGUAGAGAUCUGGAGGAACACCGAUGGCGAAGGCAGCCUCCUGGGCUAGUACUGACGCUCAUGCACGAAAGCGUGGGGAGCAAACAGG
rnacentral:rRNA from 1 species